rnacentral:rRNA from 1 species
CUACGUGCCAGCAGCCGCGGUAAUACGGAAGGUCCGGGCGUUAUCCGGAUUUAUUGGGUUUAAAGGGAGUGUAGGCGGUCUGUUAAGCGUGUUGUGAAAUUUAGGUGCUCAMCAUUUAACUUGCAGCGCGAACUGUCAGACUUGAGUACACGCAGCGCAGGCGGAAUUCAUGGUGUAGCGGUGAAAUGCUUAGAUAUCAUGAGGAACUCCGAUCGCGAAGGCAGCCUGCGGGAGUGUUACUGACGCUUAAGCUCGAAGGUGCGGGUAUCGAACAGGAUUAGAUACCCUGGUAGUCCGCACAGUAAACGAUGGAUGCCCGCCGUUGGCGCGCUGCGCCUGCGGCCAAGCGAAAGCAUUAAGCAUCCCACCUGGGGAGUACGCCGGCAACGGUGAAACUCAAAGGAAUUGACGGGGGCCCGCACAAGCGGAGGAACAUGUGGUUUAAUUCGAUGAUACGCGAGGAACCUUACCCGGGCUUGAAUUGCAGUCGCUGCCCACAGAGA